GACGAACGCUGGCGGCGUGCUUAACACAUGCAAGUCGAACGGGAUUUAGUAAACGGAAGCUUCGGUGGAAGAUUACUAAUGAGAGUGGCGAACGGGUGAGUAACGCGUGAGCAACCUGCCUAUGACAGUGGGAUAGCCUCGGGAAACCGGGAUUAAUACCGCAUAAAAUCGUAGAAACACAUGUUUUAACGGUCAAAGAUUUAUCGGUCAUAGAUGGGCUCGCGUCUGAUUAGCUAGUUGGUGAGAUAACAGCCCACCAAGGCGACGAUCAGUAGCCGGUCUGAGAGGAUGAACGGCCACAUUGGAACUGAGACACGGUCCAAACUCCUACGGGAGGCAGCAGUGGGGAAUAUUGCACAAUGGGGGAAACCCUGAUGCAGCGACGCCGCGUGAACGAAGAAGGUAUUCGUAUCGUAAAGUUCUGUCCUAUGGGAAGAUAAUGACAGUACCAUAGAAGAAAGCUCCGGCUAAAUACGUGCCAGCAGCCGCGGUAAUACGUAUGGAGCGAGCGUUGUCCGGAAUUAUUGGGCGUAAAGGGUACGCAGGCGGUUUAAUAAGUCGAAUGUUAAAGAUCGGGGCUCAACCCCGUAAAGCAUUGGAAACUGAUAAACUUGAGUAGUGGAGAGGAGAGUGGAAUUCCUAGUGUAGUGGUGAAAUACGUAGAUAUUAGGAGGAAUACCAGUAGCGAAGGCGACUUUCUGGACACAAACUGACGCUGAGGUACGAAAGCGUGGGGAGCAGACAGG
rnacentral:rRNA from 1 species